UACGUAGGGUGCGAGCGUUAAUCGGAAUUACUGGGCGUAAAGCGUGCGCAGGCGGUUCGUUGUGUCUGCUGUGAAAGCCCCGGGCUCAAGCCUGGGAACUUGGCAGUGGAAACUGGCGAGCUGGAGUGUGGCAGAGGGGGGUGGAAUUCCGCGUGUAGCAGUGAAAUGCGUAGAGAUGCGGAGGAACACCGAUGGCGAAGGCAGGCCCUGGCUG
rnacentral:rRNA from 1 species